rnacentral:snoRNA from 11 species
ACGACCUUACUUGAAAAGGAUCUGUUCUAUAGGCUCGUAAAUCUAUAUCCUUGACUACUAGGCAUACCAAAUCAUGU